AGUGAACGCUGGCGGUAGGCCUAACACAUGCAAGUCGAACGGCAGCACAGUAAGAGCUUGCUCUUACGGGUGGCGAGUGGCGGACGGGUGAGGAAUACAUCGGAAUCUACUUUUUCGUGGGGGAUAACGUAGGGAAACUUACGCUAAUACCGCAUACGACCUACGGGUGAAAGCAGGGGAUCUUCGGACCUUGCGCGAUUGAAUGAGCCGAUGUCGGAUUAGCUAGUUGGCGGGGUAAAGGCCCACCAAGGCGACGAUCCGUAGCUGGUCUGAGAGGAUGAUCAGCCACACUGGAACUGAGACACGGUCCAGACUCCUACGGGAGGAAGCAGUGGGGAAUAUUGGACAAUGGGCGCAAGCCUGAUCCAGCCAUACCGCGUGGGUGAAGAAGGCCUUCGGGUUGUAAAGCCCUUUUGUUGGGAAAGAAAAGCAGCAGGUUAAUACCCCGCUGUUCUGACGGUACCCAAAGAAUAAGCACCGGCCAACUUCGUG
rnacentral:rRNA from 1 species